CCUACGGGUGGCAGCAGUGGGGGAUAUUGCACAAUGGGGGAAACCCUGAUGCAGCGACGCCGCGUGUGGGAAGACGGUCCUCUGGAUUGUAAACCACUGUCCCCAGGGACGAAGAUGACGGUAUCUGGGGAGGAAGCUCCGGCUAACUACGUGCCAGCAGCCGCGGCAAUACGUAGGGAGCGAGCGUUGUCCGGAAUUACUGGGUGUAAGGGGAGCGUAGGCGGGACUGCAAGUUGGGUGUCAAAUCUACCGGCUCAACCGGUAGCCGCACUCAAAACUGCAGUUCUUGAGUGAAGUAGAGGCAGGCGGAAUUCCUAGUGUAGCAGUGAAAUGCGUAGAUAUUAGGAGGAACACCAGUGGCGAAGGCGGCCUGCUGGGCUUUUACUGACGCUGAGGCUCGAAAGUGUGGGGAGCAAACAGGAUUAGAUACCCCAGUAGUC
rnacentral:rRNA from 1 species